rnacentral:rRNA from 1 species
GACGAACGCUGGCGGCGUGCCUAGCACAUGCAAGUCGAACGGAACUUUAUUGGAUGAGACUUCGGUUGAUGAAGAUAAAGUUUAGUGGCGGACGGGUGAGUAACGCGUGAGCAACCUGCCUUACAGAGGGGGACAACAGUUGGAAACGACUGCUAAUACCGCAUGAUGUAGCGAGGAGGCAUCUCUUUGCUACCAAAGAUUUUAUCGCUGUAAGAUGGGCUCGCGUAUGAUUAGAUAGUUGGUGAGGUAACGGCUCACCAAGUCGACGAUCAUUAGCCGGACUGAGAGGUUGAACGGCCACAUUGGGGCUGAGAUACGGCCCAGACUCCUACGGGAGGCAGCAGUGGGGAAUAUUGCGCAAUGGGGGAAACCCUGACGCAGCAACGCCGCGUGAAGGAUGAAGGUCUUCGGAUUGUAAACUUCUUUUAUUAAGGACGAAGAAGUGACGGUACUUAAUGAAUAAGCCACGGCUUACUACGUGCCAGCCGCCGCAGUAAAAC